rnacentral:rRNA from 1 species
CGGGUGAGUAACACGUGGAUAAUCCGCCCUGCACAGGGGGACAACAGCUAGAAAUGGCUGCUAAUACCGCAUAAGCCUACAGCCUCGCAUGAGGGAGUAGGAAAAGAAAUUCGGUGCAGGAUGAGUCCGCGUCUGAUUAGCUAGUUGGAGGGGUAAAAGCCCACCAAGGCAACGAUCAGUAGCCGGCCUGAGAGGGCGACCGGCCACAUUGGGACUGAGACACGGCCCAAACUCCUACGGAAGGCAGCAG